rnacentral:rRNA from 1 species
AUACGGAGGAUGCGAGCGUUAUCCGGAUUUAUUGGGUUUAAAGGGAGCGUAGGUGGGAUAUUAAGUCAGCUGUGAAAGUUUGGGGCUCAACCUUAAAAUUGCAGUUGAUACUGGUUUCCUUGAGUACGGUACAGGUGGGCGGAAUUCGUGGGGUAGCGGUGAAAUGCAUAGAUAUGACGAAGAACACCGAUUGCGUAGGCAGCUGACCAGACCGCAAAUGACGCUCAUGCACGAAAGUGCGGGGAUCGAACAGGAUUAGAUACCCUAGUAGUCCACACAGUAAACGAUGAAUACUCGCUGUUUGCGAUAUACAGUAAGCGGCCAAGCGAAAGCAUUAAGUAUUCCACCUGGGGAGUACGCCGGCAACGGUGAAACUUAAAGGAAUUGACGGGG